UACGUAGGGGGCGAGCGUUGUCCGGAAUCAUUGGGCGUAAAGCGCGUGUAGGCGGCCCGGUAAGUCCGCUGUGAAAGUCCAGGGCUCAACCCUGGGAUGCCGGUGGAUACUGUCGGGCUCGAGUCCGGAAGAGGCGAGUGGAAUUCCUGGUGUAGCGGUGAAAUGCGUAGAUAUUAGGAAGAACACCAGUGGCGAAGGCGGCUCACUGGUCCGGUACUGACGCUGAGGUGCGAAAGCGUGGGGAGCAAACAGG
rnacentral:rRNA from 1 species